rnacentral:rRNA from 1 species
UGGGGAAUAUUGGACAAUGGGCGAAAGCCUGAUCCAGCAAUACCGCGUGAAUGAUGAAGGCCCUAGGGUUGUAAAGUUCUUUUAAUAGGGAAGAUAAUGACGGUACCUAUAGAAAAAGCCCCGGCUAACUCCGUGCCAGCAGCCGCGGUAAGACGGAGGGGGCUAGCGUUAUUCGGAAUUACUGGGCGUAAAGGGCGCGUAGGCGGAUUAGUAAGUUGGGAGUGAAAGCCCGGGGCUUAACCUCGGAACUGCUUUCAAAACUGCUAGUCUUGAGUGAAGUAGGGGGUGAUGGAAUUCCUAGUGUAGAGGUGAAAUUCUUAGAUAUUAGGAGGAACACCGGUGGCGAAGGCGGUCACCUGGACUUCAACUGACGCUGAGGCGCGAAAGCGUGGGGAGCAAACAGG